rnacentral:tRNA from 1 species
GCCUGGCUGGCUCAUUCGGUUAAGUGUUCGACUUUGGCUCAGGUCAUGAUCUCACAGUUUGUGGGUUCAAGCCCCGCGUCAGGCU